AUAAUAGUAUUAUAGCGAUGUCCUAACUUUUUUGGUAGAACUUUUUAGGGAUCAAUUACGAGAUCGGCAUAAUUAAGUAUAUGCCUUUGUUUAAUUAGGUACUUUUUCAUAUGCUUAUAGAAAUAGGUACUUUUCUUUCUGUUUAUGUUACGCUUUUACCUUUCUGCAUUUUUUCUUCAUUUUUCCAGUACUUCUCUCAACGGUGAUGACAAUGAACUCCGUUGACAAUAACGAACAAUUUUUUGGUUUAGAAUUAGUGAUGAAUUGGGGAUUAAUUGAUUUGAAUCGUUUUUAAGAGUAGAACCCUUGGGUUUCCUAGAUAGUAUCUUUAGGGUUUAUAUUUCUUCCAUAACAAAUCGUUUAACUUGAUUGAUUGGAUUAAUUGGAGACGACGUGUUGGUGAUGGAGAAAGUUGGAAACGAAAGAAAUAGUGUUUUUGAUGGACUUAAAGGUGAUGGUGUUGACAAAU
rnacentral:sRNA from 1 species